AUCUCUCUCCUCGCCCCUACCUUCUCUCUCUAUCUCUUUGUUUGAUCUAAAGGAGGGAGACAAAACCCUAACCCUAUCACAACCACGCCCCCAUGAAAUCUAGUCGCCGGAUUCUAUCCAGAGACGAGAAAUCCAGCCAACGAACAUCGAAUCCAACAAAUUUCCUUUGUGUUGGAGAUUAAUGCUAAUCCUCACAGAUACUUGCGAAAUCUUGCUCGAUUUCAGCCAUGAAUCGGCUAAAAUCAUCUACAAAUGCAUCAAAACAAGUUGCUGAAAAUCUGAACUCGCAGGUGAUUAAUGAAACUCUAUGGAUGGCGAAUAUUAUCAAUGGGGUAUGGAGAAAAGAUUGAAGGUAUUUGUGAUGGUUUAUAAGCUUCAGAGAUGCAAUGUAUAUCAUUGGAUGCAUGUGAAUAAGUGUGUUACUGAUCCUGCCUAAAUCUGAUAGAAGUCAUAAAAUUUUAACGAUACUUCAGAGAUGCAAUGUAUAUCAUUGGUGCAUGCAUAUGUAGACGCCUGGUUUUUUGUUGUUCCUUCACAUGGGUAAGGUUCCUUGUUUGUUUGAUUUUUUUUUUUUAGUUCUGUCUUCACAGGGCUAAGGUUCCCUGUUUGUUUGAUUAGAGUACCCAUUAAAAAGAGAAAGAGCAAAGUAUAUGCAAAAAAAUGCUCAGCAUUUGCUCCCUCCAUAUGCUCGUAGGUGUCUUAUGCUUACAUCAUCUGAAAUUUCUUGUGGUUUCUACUUAAUUUUUGCUGCAAUCAGUUGUUUGAGUUGCUGUAAUACUAAUAUCACAUGGGCAGAAUAGUCGAUCGUCCUAGUUGGGUUAGCAUAUGAAAAGGGAAGAUGCUCUGUAAGAUGUCAUGAGCAUUUUCAUGCUAGUCUCUUGCUAUUGUCUUGUCAUCAUGUCUAAGAAAAUGUAGUCCUCAGGAGAAGCUCUGCAUUCUGCUGAGCCUCAAUUUCCUUGUCUUUGUCAUCCUCU